rnacentral:rRNA from 1 species
CAGCCGUAAACUAUGCGCGUUAGGUGUAUCGGUGACCACGAGUUACCGAGGUGCCGAAGGGAAACCGUGAAACGUGCCGCCUGGGAAGUACGGUCGCAAGGCUGAAACUUAAAGGAAUUGGCGGGGGAGCACCGCAACGGGAGGAGCGUGCGGUUUAAUUGGACUCAACGCCGGAAAUCUCACCGGAUAGGACAGACAAAUGAUAGUCGGGCUGAAGACUCUACUUGAUGAUCUGAGAGGUGGUGCAUGGCGUCAGUGACU